GUCUACGGCCAUACCACCCUGAACGCGCCCGAUCUCAUCUGAUCUCGGAAGCUAAGCAGGGUCGGGCCUGGUUAGUACUUGGAUGGGAGACAUUAUGAGCUGAAAGCCAUGUUCCUUUUACC
rnacentral:rRNA from 1 species